GGGGCGAAUCGGGCGGUCGCCGAUGGUCGGCUGUGGCCGGUCAUCGGAGGAAAGUCCGAACACCGCAGGGCAGCGGGCUGGGUAACGCCCAGGCAGGCCGCCCGCAAGGGCGGCCUGACGACAAGUGCAACAGAGAGCAGACCGGCCGAUGGCCACCGUUCUCUGGUCGAGAGCGGUGGAUCAGGCGAUGGGUGAAACGGUGGGGUAAGAGCCCACCAGCGGGCGUGGUGACACGCCCGGCUAGGCAAACUCCCCGCGGUGCAAGACCAAAUAGGAAGGCGCUCGAGGGUGGCCCGCCCGACGAUCGCCGGCCGCAUGGCCGCGCGAUGGCGCCUUCGGGUAGGUCGCUUGAGCUGACGGGUAACCGUCAGCCCAGAGGAAUGACCGCCCUCCCGCUUCUAUGCGGGAGACAGAAUUCGGCUUACAGAUUCGCCCCGAAC
rnacentral:RNase_P_RNA from 1 species